rnacentral:rRNA from 1 species
AGAGUUUGAUCCUGGCUCAGGACGAACGCUGGCGGCGUGCCUAAUACAUGCAAGUCGAACGAAGCUUUCUUUCACCGAAUGCUUGCAUUCACCGAAAGAAGCUUAGUGGCGAACGGGUGAGUAACACGUAGGCAACCUACCCAAAGGAGGGGGAUAACACUUGGAAACAGGUGCUAAUACCGCAUAACCAUGAACACCGCAUGAUGUUCGUGUAAAAGACGGCUUUUGCUGUCACUUUUGGAUGGGCCUGCGGCGUAUUAACUUGUUGGUGGGGUAACGGCCUACCAAGGUGAUGAUACGUAGCCGAACUGAGAGGUUGAUCGGCCACAUUGGGACUGAGACACGGCCCAAACUCCUACGGGAGGCAGCAGUAGGGAAUCUUCCACAAUGGACGAAAGUCUGAUGGAGCAACGCCGCGUGAAUGAAGAAGGCCUUCGGGUCGUAAAAUUCUGUUGUCAGAGAAGAAUGUGCGUGAGAGUAACUGUUCACGUAUUGACGGUAUCUGACCAGAAAGCCACGGCUAACUACGUGCCAGCAGCCGCGGUAAUACGUAGGUGGCAAGCGUUGUCCGGAUUUAUUGGGCGUAAAGGGAACGCAGGCGGUCUUUUAAGUCUGAUGUGAAAGCCUUCGGCUUAACCGAAGUAGUGCAUUGGAAACUGGAAGACUUGAGUGCAGAAGAGGAGAGUGGAACUCCAUGUGUAGCGGUGAAAUGCGUAGAUAUAUGGAAGAACACCAGUGGCGAAAGCGGCUCUCUGGUCUGUAACUGACGCUGAGGUUCGAAAGCGUGGGUAGCAAACAGGAUUAGAUACCCUGGUAGUCCACGCCGUAAACGAUGAGUGCUAAGUGUUGGAGGGCUUCCGCCCUUCAGUGCUGCAGCUAACGCAUUAAGCACUCCGCCUGGGGAGUACGGUCGCAAGACUGAAACUCAAAGGAAUUGACGGGGGCCCGCACAAGCGGUGGAGCAUGUGGUUUAAUUCGAAGCAACGCGAAGAACCUUACCAGGUCUUGACAUCUUCUGACAAUUCCAGAGAUGGAACGUUCCCUUCGGGGACAGAAUGACAGGUGGUGCAUGGUUGUCGUCAGCUCGUGUCGUGAGAUGUUGGGUUAAGUCCCGCAACGAGCGCAACCCUUAUUGUCAGUUGCCAUCAUUAAGUUGGGCACUCUGGCGAGACUGCCGGUGACAAACCGGAGGAAGGUGGGGAUGACGUCAAAUCAUCAUGCCCCUUAUGACCUGGGCUACACACGUGCUACAAUGGACGGUACAACGAGUCGCUAACUCGCGAGGGCAAGCUAAUCUCUUAAAGCCGUUCUCAGUUCGGAUUGCAGGCUGCAACUCGCCUGCAUGAAGUCGGAAUCGCUAGUAAUCGCGAAUCAGCAUGUCGCGGUGAAUACGUUCCCGGGCCUUGUACACACCGCCCGUCACACCAUGAGAGUUUGUAACACCCAAAGUCGGUGGGGUAACCUUUUGGAGCCAGCCGCCUAAGGUGGGACAGAUGAUUGGGGUGAAGUCGUAACAAGGUA